rnacentral:misc_RNA from 1 species
GGAGAAGGUAUGCUAUGUUGAGGAGGAGACAGAUAAAGGCGGAAACCGAGGCGUGGGAGCAAAUGGUGGAGGAAUAUAGGGAGUUAGAGAGGGAAAUGUGUGAGAAGAAACUAGCCCCUAAUUUGCCUUAUGUUAAGAAAUUGAUGUUAGGUUGGUUUGAGCCAUUGAGACAAGCUAUAGAAAGGGAGCAGAAUGCCGAGAUGACACAGAAACAUAGGACGGCUUAUGCGC